rnacentral:rRNA from 1 species
CCCUUAGAUUUUCUGGGCUGCACCCGUGCUACACUGGCAGGUUCAGCGAGCUUCAUGCCCUGAUCUGAAAGGAAUGGGAAAUCUUUUCAAAACCUGCCGUGCUUGGGAUAGAUGUUUGCAAUUAUUCAUCUUCAACGAGGAUUGCCUUGUAAGCGCACGUCAUCAGCGUGCAUUGAAUACGACCCUGUAUUCUGUACACACCGCCCGUCGCUCCUACCGAUUGAAGUUUUCGGUGAGUUGACAGGAGGAUUUUUUUGAAACUGGUUCGCCAGUGGAUUUUAGAUCCAAAUGCCAACGAAUCGAUGGCUUUAGAGGAAGGAGAAGUCGUAACA